rnacentral:rRNA from 1 species
UACGUAGGGAGCGAGCGUUGUCCGGAUUUACUGGGUGUAAAGGGUGCGUAGGCGGCUCUGCAAGUCAGAAGUGAAAUCUAUGGGCUUAACCCAUAAACUGCUUUUGAAACUGUGGAGCUUGAGUGAAGUAGAGGUAGGCGGAAUUCCCGGUGUAGCGGUGAAAUGCGUAGAGAUCGGGAGGAACACCAGUGGCGAAAGCGGCCUACUGGGCUUUAACUGACGCUGAGGCACGAAAGCGUGGGUAGCAAACAGG